rnacentral:rRNA from 1 species
CGCUGGCGGCGUGCCUAAUACAUGCAAGUAGAACGCUGAAGAGAGGAGCUUGCUCUUCUUGGAUGAGUUGCGAACGGGUGAGUAACGCGUAGGUAACCUGCCUUGUAGCGGGGGAUAACUAUUGGAAACGAUAGCUAAUACCGCAUAACAAUGGAUGACACAUGUCAUUUAUUUGAAAGGGGCAAUUGCUCCACUACAAGAUGGACCUGCGUUGUAUUAGCUAGUAGGUGAGGUAACGGCUCACCUAGGCGACGAUACAUAGCCGACCUGAGAGGGUGAUCGGCCACACUGGGACUGAGACACGGCCCAGACUCCUACGGGAGGCAGCAGUAGGGAAUCUUCGGCAAUGGGGGCAACCCUGACCGAGCAACGCCGCGUGAGUGAAGAAGGUUUUCGGAUCGUAAAGCUCUGUUGUAAGUCAAGAACGAGUGUGAGAGUGGAAAGUUCACACUGUGACGGUAGCUUACCAGAAAGGGACGGCUAACUACGUGCCAGCAGCCGCGGUAAUACGUAGGUCCCGAGCGUUGUCCGGAUUUAUUGGGCGUAAAGCGAGCGCAGGCGGUUUGAUAAGUCUGAAGUUAAAGGCUGUGGCUCAACCAUAGUUCGCUUUGGAAACUGUCAAACUUGAGUGCAGAAGGGGAGAGUGGAAUUCCAUGUGUAGCGGUGAAAUGCGUAGAUAUAUGGAGGAACACCGGUGGCGAAAGCGGCUCUCUGGUCUGUAACUGACGCUGAGGCUCGAAAGCGUGGGGAGCGAACAGGAUUAGAUACCCUGGUAGUCCACGCCGUAAACGAUGAGUGCUAGGUGUUGGAUCCUUUCCGGGAUUCAGUGCCGCAGCUAACGCAUUAAGCACUCCGCCUGGGGAGUACGACCGCAAGGUUGAAACUCAAAGGAAUUGACGGGGGCCCGCACAAGCGGUGGAGCAUGUGGUUUAAUUCGAAGCAACGCGAAGAACCUUACCAGGUCUUGACAUCCCGAUGCUAUUUCUAGAGAUAGAAAGUUACUUCGGUACAUCGGUGACAGGUGGUGCAUGGUUGUCGUCAGCUCGUGUCGUGAGAUGUUGGGUUAAGUCCCGCAACGAGCGCAACCCCUAUCGUUAGUUGCCAUCAUUCAGUUGGGCACUCUAGCGAGACUGCCGGUAAUAAACCGGAGGAAGGUGGGGAUGACGUCAAAUCAUCAUGCCCCUUAUGACCUGGGCUACACACGUGCUACAAUGGUUGGUACAACGAGUUGCGAGCCGGUGGCGGCAAGCUAAUCUCUUAAAGCCAAUCUCAGUUCGGAUUGUAGGCUGCAACUCGCCUACAUGAAGUCGGAAUCGCUAGUAAUCGCGGAUCAGCACGCCGCGGUGAAUACGUUCCCGGGCCUUGUACACACCGCCCGUCACACCACGAGAGUUUGUAACACCCGAAGUCGGUGAGGUAACCUUAUGGAGCCAGCCGCCUAAGGUGGGAUAGAUG